rnacentral:rRNA from 1 species
ACGGGAGGCAGCAGUGGGGGAUAUUGCACAAUGGGGGAAACCCUGAUGCAGCGACGCCGCGUGAGUGAUGAAGUAUUUGGGUAUGUAAAGCUCUAUCAGCAGGGAAGAUAAUGACGGUACCUGACUAAGAAGCACCGGCUAAAUACGUGCCAGCAGCCGCGGUAAUAUGUAUGGUGCAAGCGUUAUCCGGAUUUACUGGGUGUAAAGGGAGCGUAGACGGCAAGGCAAGCCAGAUGUGAAAGGCUGGGGCUCAACCCCGGGACUGCAUUUGGAACUGUCUAGCUAGAGUAUCGGAGAGGUAAGUGGAAUUCCUAGUGUAGCGGUGAAAUGCGUAGAUAUUAGGAGGAGCACCAGUGGCGAAGGCGGCUUACUGGACGAUAACUGACGUUGAGGCUCGAAAGCGUGGGGAGCAAACAGGAUUAGAUACCCUGGUA